rnacentral:rRNA from 1 species
AUGGCUGGAAUGCGUGAGAUGGCGAUAUUCUACUCACAGGAGCGCAGCUUAUUCCACCGGCUGGUGCGCGACCUCGGGCAGGAGAAGGAGCAUAUGAGGUGGGUGAUCGCGCUCUGGCUCUGGUUCGAGGCCGAUGGGAACGACAAAUUCAUGCGCCGCGCGGCCGCGCUCCCGGGCCCCGUCGUGCUGCGCUUCGUCGACGAGGCGCUGGCGUGCCUCGCCCGCCUCGCCGGCCGCGUGCUCGCCGGCGCCAGCACGCUCCUCCCCUGCACCAACGCGCUCCUCAACAAGCCCAUCGACGACGUCACCUACUUCGACGAGCACCGCGACAACAUCAUGCCCCGCGUCAAGUUACUGUACAAGACCGUCUGCCGCGUCGUCCUCGACGACGCCUGCGCCUCCGACAACGCCCUGAACGCGAUGGCGCCGCCGUGGGCCCCGAUCUGGCUGGCGCAGCCGUACCAGCCCCAGCCCCAGCACCAGCACCAGCAGCAUCAGAUGAUGAUCGUCGACCGCCUUCCAGAGGAGUUCCGCUCGCUCUUCAUCCGACAUCAGGGAGUUCUUCAACUCGGGCGCCCGUGCGUGGAGGACGUGAUGGUGGAGAGGGCGGCGCCUGGGCAGAUGCCGGUGUACGGGAGGGUGGUGCUGCAGAGCCCGGACAUGAUCCCGGCGCUGCUCGGGGGCGAGCCGACGGCCAAGUUCAUCAUCAAGGGCAGGCACCUCUGGGCCAGGGUGUACGUGCCCUGCUCCAGGCACACCUUCCAAGCCUGA